CCUCCUUUAAAGAAACCGGAAUAUGGCGUGAAAGCGCCCACACAAUCUGCCUAAUCGCCGUAAAGAUAGACCGCGGGUCUGUAGCUCAGUUGGUUAGAGCGCACCCCUGAUAAGGGUGAGGUCGGAAGUUCAAAUCUUCCCAGACCCACCACCUUCGAGCAUAAGCAGCAACAAGGGAACAAGGGGCCAUAGCUCAGACGGGAGAGCACCUGCUUUGCAAGCAGGGGGUCGGCGGUUCGAUCCCGCCUGGCUCCACCACGAGAUAAACCACGGCGGCACAUUGCCGCCGUGGUUUAUCUCCUGGCCCAGGGGCCGCGGGACGUUCUUUUACAUUUUAGGUAGUAGUGAUGUACGACGGUGAAGUCGGGGCAGCGUUUGACGUCCUGACUUUACUGGGUAUGCCAGCAUUUAUUAUGGUAGUAGUUGUUACCCA
rnacentral:tRNA from 1 species